rnacentral:lncRNA from 1 species
AGAACCCCGAAUAACCCAAACUGCUAAUCUUCGAUACCGCUUUAUACUCACGAUCUUGUAUCCACUGACUGUCUUGUUAGAUUAAUCCAAUAAAUUUCAUUCACUCUGCAUACUCAAUCCUAUAGACACCCUUUUAACUCUUCAUCACAGACGUAACUCGAUUUCACAAAACAGUCAAGAGUAAUCAAACCCACUUCAUUAAAAAUCCCGAUUCACCAUUACAACACUGACUUCAGCAACGAUUGCCUCAGUCUUCCCAAAACCCUAUGAAGAAAAAAAAAUCC